AUAUAUAUGAUGCAAUAUCGACUCUGUCGAAUAAAAUUCUGGUUAGAACUAUGAUAAUGACAUUAUUUAGCCAUGUGUCUUGACCAAAUUACGUGCCAGCAGUCGCGGUAAUACGUAGAAGACUAGUGUUAUUCAUCUUUAAUUGGUUUAAAGGGUACCCAGACGGUAAAUCAAGCUCUAGACGGAACUAAUUUACUAGAGUUACUUGCGCGGGGGUUUUUAAGUACUAAUGGUGUAGAGAUAAAAUUUUGUAAUACCAUUUUUCGAAAGAAAAGUAACGGCACUGGUAAAGGCGAAAGCAUCCCCUUAUGUGAUAACUGACGUUGAAGGACGAAGGCUUUGGAUCGCAAAUAGGAU
rnacentral:rRNA from 1 species